GACGAACGCUGGCGGCGUGCUUAACACAUGCAAGUCGAACGGAAAGGCACUGCCUUUGUGGGGUGCUCGAGUGGCGAACGGGUGAGUAACACGUGAGUAACCUGCCCUUGACUCUGGGAUAACUUCAGGAAACUGCGGCUAAUACCGGAUAGGAGCUCCUGCUGCAUGGUGGGGGUUGGAAAGUUUCGUCGGUUGGGGAUGGACUCGCGGCUUAUCAGCUUGUUGGUGGGGUAGUGGCUCACCAAGGCUUUGACGGGUAGCCGGCCUGAGAGGGUGACCGGCCACACUGGGACUGAGAUACGGCCCAGACUCCUACGGGAGGCAGCAGUGGGGAAUAUUGCACAAUGGGCGGAAGCCUGAUGCAGCAACGCCGCGUGCGGGAUGACGGCCUUCGGGUUGUAAACCUCUUUCGCCUGUGACGAAGCGUGAGUGACGGUAAUGGGUAAAGAAGCACCGGCUAACUACGUG
rnacentral:rRNA from 1 species